rnacentral:lncRNA from 10 species
CAGGAGUGGAGUGGACAGUGGAACCCACGGGUUCUCAAAGAGGUUAGGUACUUGGUGCUUCUUGCCUGUCCUGUCUUGAAGCCUGGAAUAGCAAGUUCAAGAACCUGAAGGGUAUGGGGACCUGGCCCCAUGACCUUGGCCUCUGUGCAAAUUUGCUGAAAGAACUUUCCAAAGGCUUUGCAAGGCAAGCACAGUCUGUUUCAUGGAUGUUUUAAAACCAGCUGAGAUGGUUUUGCAGCUGAGAAACGUGCUAAAAAGGCAUUGCAUCCGUUUUGUUAACAUUUCCAUCCAUUGAGAUUCGCUUUUAUUCCCUUUAGUGAGCAGAAAAUGUUACCUUUUCCAGCCCCACAUGAGAUGCCCAGGGGGAUUUGAGGAAGUGGAGCUUCCUGACGACUCAGGCUGUUGACGGGGUGGUGACGGAGCACAGGGAACCACUGAGGCUGCAUUGAGGACUGCAGGGACGAGGGGAGGGCGCAGGACUAGGAGUUGGGAGGCCCUUGUGGUCCUGGGCAGGUUGCUGGGCUCUGAGCCUCAGUUUCUCAGGGUUUGACUCAGGAAGUGCAGAGUUCCAGCUUUAAUGUUCUUGGUGCAGGGGAGAGUCCAGGCUUGGCGUGGUUGUUCCUGAUUUCUCUUCCUGGGACUCAUAGAACUUUGCACACCCCAUGCUUAACCACACGUCUUACCUCAUUGAUCUUCACAGCUGCUCUGUGAAGCAGGAAAGUGAUUUUUAUCCUCUCCGCUGGAGGGUCGAAAGGUGGUGUGACCCCUUAAGGGCAAAGAGUCAGGAGUACCUCUUUCUCA